rnacentral:rRNA from 1 species
AUGCUCCCCUGGCUGUUAGCUUUCCGGUUCUGUUCUCUUAUUGCCCCAAUCCGCAAAUCUCCAUCGCGGAGGUGGCUGCUAAUAAUUGGGACUUGUCUUUUCGUCGGGCCCUGUCUCCUGAAGAGUUGGAAGAAUGGCAAAGUCUUUCUGCCCUUCCCUGUGCUCUCGGAGGAGGCCGACUCGGUGGUUUGGCCGCUUACGGCCUCUGGUAUAUUCUCGGUCAAAUCGCUGUACUCUAGACUGAUUGGUGGUACUACUUCGGCUAGAUUCUCUUGCGUUUGGAAAUCUAAGGUCCCUCCUAAGAUUAAGAUUUUCCUCUGGCAAGCCUUCCGUGGUCGCCUCCCUUCUGCUGAUCAGAUCAAAAAACGCAACGGGCCGGGCUCGGAAUUCUGUAACUUGUGUGGGGCUUUGGAAAACUCUAAUCACAUCUUUUUCAACUGUGUUCUCGCCAAAUUAGUUUGGGCUUGCGUCAGAUCCUGGCUUCGGGUCUCCUGGAAUCCCUCCUCUUUCUCAGAUAUUAGAACCCUAGCCAAAUCUCUGGUAGGGGUCACCAGGAGGGUAUUCUGGGUUGGCUUGGGAGCCUUAUGUUGGGCACUAUGGACAAUUAGAAACAAAUUUACUAUUGAGCUUACCUUCCCAUCUAAGCCUGCUGAUGUUCUUUUCAAAUCAUGUAUAUUCUUGCAGCAGUGGAGAUCAUUGACUAAGGAGCCAGAUCGGGACGCCCUGGACCUGCUCAUCGCCAAAAUUCGGGCUUCAGCCUCUCAGAUCUCCGGGACGAAUCAUGGUGUAUAA